rnacentral:lncRNA from 1 species
CUCCCUCUAUACAUUUUCAAGUAAUAUUGAGAAUAGCCAAAGAUAUUUCUAUCAAUUCAUGGAAUAUGGGACUGCUUAACUGCUUAGCUCCUUGGUAUCUCUUCCUUUCUUCCUUUUAUAUGAAAAUAGCUGAGCGUUGCAUAAUGUGAUCCUGAAAUGGCAGAAAAUUAUAAGUAGUUCAAAAGGAAAUUUACUUGGAAUGACUAAGCUAGAAUAAAGCAUUCCAUUUUUCAAAUACCUUUUCCUCUUGCUUUCUUGCUUUAUUAUGAUUAUUGCCGUGAUAGUUGCAUCUUUGUUGCCAUUAUUGCAAGCAAUAUAUAAUGUAGUAGACUAAUUUUUAGACUGAAUUUGCAAUAGGGCACGGCCAAAUUGAGUGUUCGAUUUGAGAAGCACCACUUCUAGAUAGUUCAACUUCUUGUCUGGUCAAUGUAGAAGUAGCAAACAAUCAAUAGUAUAACCCCAUCCAACAAGCCUCUGCUUAGAGAAGUUGCCUCUUACACCCCUUUGGUUAUGCUUUGAUUUGUGAGAGAGAGAUGUUGCAGGUUUUAAUCCGCAAUGUCUUUAGUGGACGAUUUGGAGGGAGCAAAAACAGCCGAUAUAUUGAAGGCAAGGAGAAACCUUUCUGGCAUAUUCAGUUCUUUUUCUUGGCCUUCUUUUUUUUGGCUUCUUGAGACAUUUCCGGGGGUUCUGCUGUGCAUUUAUGUGAUUUUUUUUGGGAAAGUAUGAUUUAUGAAAGUGUAGGUGUCUUUCUUUUGGGAGGCUCUUUAUAUAGAGUGGGUUUUCUGGUUUUUCUUCCAGUGCAGAAGUGCCUUAUUUUAUCCUAUGCUUUUGUGAACAGAU